ensembl:lincRNA
AUGUUAAGUUGAGAGGAAUUUUCUAGGAUGGUGAGUUUUAUUUUUUCUCUAGUAAUAAUGAUAGAUGGAAUGCUCUAACUCAGGUUUAUUGCUUUUGGUGAUAUAAUGAUGUUGGCCAACAGGCAUCCAAGUGGCACAAAUCAGUGGAGGUUGAUGAGUAUUUUAAAGACAUUUAUUUUGCAUAUUUUCAUACCUCAUAAUAACAAGAUCUGUGACUGAUAUUUAGAUUUGAAAAACCUUUUUAAAAUGAGAAACAUUCGUGAUUAUUUCUGGCCUUAGAGUUCAAAAUAGAUGUACUACUUUGAAAGCAAAAAUUAAAUGGAAUCUUAAUGUAUCUAUUCAAAUGAUAGAGCAAUGGAAUGCUUUUUAUGAAACGUUAUUUGAAAUAUAUGUUUUCUGAGGUAAUGUUCUCUGUUUAUAUAAUGGCAAUGUUAUAUUCUUAAUAGAUAUUUGUGCUACUUGGCUCCUAUUGAGUAUCUUUUAUUGAAGUUUACCUAGAUGCCUAAAUUUGCCAAUUUGAUUUUUUUUCUGGGGGUGCAAUCAGACCCUGAUUGUAAUAUCAGUUUAAAUCUUUUUUUUGUUUGUAACUAUUUUGAAGCUGACUUAAUGAAGGAAAAUAAAAAUCACUGCACAUGUGUGUGGGAGAGAGAGCAAGAGAGAGAGAGCUAUGAAAGCAGAAAUCGCUUGUUUUUCCCCAAAGAAGAUGAGUUAUAAAAGAAAGGAUGAGACUGAGAGUCGGAGCGGUCAGAAGGUCUGCCUUGGCCAAUCAAUAGAUACUUGCAAAAAAGACACUUCUGCAUAUGAAGUCACCUAUUGAUUGUUUAAAACCGUACUCUUCCUCCUAAUCCUUUUGAUUCAUUAUCAUUAAUGGAGUGAAGUAAGUUUGUUAAUAUCUAAUUUUGGGGGAUGCUUGUUUGUGAAAGAAAAUCAAAGUGACUGCUUUAGACCUCUGAAUUUGGAAAGCAGGUCGUAUGAAAGUAGAGAGCCUCUUUAAUUUGAUCUUCUAUUAGCUGCUGUCAGUGUCCUUCAAUCUUUGAUUAACCCCCUCCUGUCAGCUCCAUGGGAAGCAGUACACGAUCCACAAUCUUUUCUUCAGUCCUAGUCAGUGGGCUCGCCAGGGACCUUGCUCAGCCUCAGUUUUUGCCUGCCUUCUUCUCUGGACAUCUUCUUAGAUCCUUGGCCUCUGUUGUUGUCCUAAGAGUGUCAUCAGUUGCUCUGUCAGGUGUGGUCUAAUCAAGAUGUUCUUUUUAAGCACCUACAUUGUCCCUGAAAACAUACUAAAUGUAGAGGUAAUGCUGAGUUAAGGCAAAAUUAUUGUAGAUGUAACUUAUGGAUACCUUGAACUUGAGGAACAUAAUACACUUUCAAAAUAAGGUACAUACCACACAGUGGCAGAAAAUAUGAUUUCACAAAAGAAAUCAAGUCAUCUCUCAUGUUUUCUUAGCGUUCUUUUUAACAUUUGUCCGUUUCUCAUUAUACAUUUUCACGAUUACUUAAUUCAUGGCCUAAAAGUAUGUUUUAUGAGAGCAUGGUCUGUGACUGGUUUGCUGUAUUUAGACUCUGAAUCCAGUGUCUUAUAAGUGCUUCCAAAAUAUAAGUUGAAGGAGUUCUGAAAAAAGAUACAUGACUGAGAAAUGGAGAGUCACGAGUACUCUCGUUGACACAUCGUACACACGUUGUUUUUCUGACCGUUCCCUGACUUUUCUG